rnacentral:rRNA from 1 species
UACGGAGGGUGCAAGCGUUAUCCGGAAUUAUUGGGCGUAAAGAGCUCGUAGGCGGUUUGUCGCGUCUGCUGUGAAAACUGGAGGCUCAACCUCCAGCCUGCAGUGGGUACGGGCAAACUAGAGUACGGUAGGGGAGAUUGGAAUUCCUGGUGUAGCGGUGGAAUGCGCAGAUAUCAGGAGGAACACCGAUGGCGAAGGCAGAUCUCUGGGCCGUAACUGACGCUGAGGAGCGAAAGCAUGGGGAGCGAACAGG